rnacentral:rRNA from 1 species
CGGACGGGUGAGUAACGCGUAAGAAUCUACCUUCAGGUUCGGGACAACCACUGGAAACGGUGGCUAAUACCGAAUGUGCCGAGAGGUGAAAGGCUUGCUGCCUGAAGAAGAGCUUGCGUCUGAUUAGCUAGUAGGUGUGGUAAAGGCGCACCAAGGCGACGAUCAGUAGCUGGUCUGAGAGGAUGAUCAGCCACACUGGGACUGAGACACGGCCCAGACUCCUACGGGAGGCAGCAGUGGGGAAUUUUCCGCAAUGGGCGAAAGCCUGACGGAGCAAUACCGCGUGAGGGAGGAAGGCUCUUGGGUUGUAAACCUCUUUUCUCAGGGAAGAAAAAAAUGACGGUACCUGAGGAAUAAGCAUCGGCUAACUCCGUGCCAGCAGCCGCGGUAAUACGGAGGAUGCAAGCGUUAUCCGGAAUGAUUGGGCGUAAAGGGUCCGCAGGUGGCAUUGUUUGUCUGCUGUUAAAGAGUCUGGCUCAACCAGAUCAAAGCAGUGGAAACUACAAAGCUAGAGUAUGGUCGGGGCAGAGGGAAUUCCUGGUGUAGCGGUGAAAUGCGUAGAUAUCAGGAAGAACACCGGUGGCGAAGGCGCUCUGCUAGGCCAAAACUGACACUGAGGGACGAAAGCUAGGGGAGCGAAUGGGAUUAGAUACCCCAGUAGUCC